UAAAAGUGAACAAUUUUCAUCCUUCUACGUGAAUUUAUCAGAAAACUAAUAGAUCCCAUAAAAAUCAAGUCAUCCCUUCAUAAUUAUUAUUCUUAGAUACGUCAAAAAUACUAUUGUGAACUUUUUCGGUAAUUGAGUUUUGCAUUAUGCAAAAUCUUUUAAUUUGAUUAUUUUUUUUCAUGUAAUUUGAUAUUAAAAAUAUUAUUAGUUGAAUAUGUUUCUUCUCAAUUGAAUAUGCUAGAAGCGGCGUUUGUUGGAGACUUCCGCUUCUAAUAAUGUAGAAUGAAACUCAAAUGCGAGACAUAAUCAAUAUUUUGAUCACUUCAAUAUCAGAAUGACCCAAAAUUUAUUGAUCUUAAUACAGUUUGACUUUGAAAAAGGUAAAGAUAAUUAAGCUUCAGCUUCUUUCCGUUACUAAAUGAGAAAAAGAGCAGAUCAUGUAUCCUCACACCUUCCAAACAUUUUUUGUUUCAGUAAGCAAUCAUGUAUCCUCACACCUUCCAAACAUUUUUUGUUUAAGUAAGCAAUGGUGCCUGAAAUUUUUAAUAUUUUUUUCAAGA
rnacentral:lncRNA from 1 species